ensembl:misc_RNA 7SK 7SK RNA
GGAUGUGAGGGCGAUCUGGCUGCGACAUCUGUCACACCAUUGAUCGCCAGGGUUGAUUCGGCUGAUCUGGCUGGCUAGGCGGGUGUCCCCUUCCUCCCUCACCGCUCCAUGUGUGUCCCUCCCGAAGCUGCGCGCUCAGCCGAAGAGGACGACCAUCCCCGAUAGAGGAGGACCGGUCAAGGGUAUACGAGUAGCUGCGUUCCCCUGCUAGAACCUCCAAACAAGCUCUCAAGGAAAAAAUCAUAUUAAUUUAAGUAAGGCCGAAAGAAACAUAGGUCCCAUGGUUUCCCUUACUAGCAAUAACUAGUAUAAGUUUAGGA